UACGUAGGGUGCAAGCGUUGUCCGGAAUUAUUGGGCGUAAAGAGCUCGUAGGCGGCCUGUUGCGUCCGCUGUGAAAUCCCGGGGCUUAACCCCGGGCGUGCAGUGGAUACGGGCAGGCUGGAGGCAGGCAGGGGAGAACGGAAUUCCCGGUGUAGCGGUGAAAUGCGCAGAUAUCGGGAGGAACACCGGUGGCGAAGGCGGUUCUCUGGGCCUGUACUGACGCUGAGGAGCGAAAGCUAGGGGAGCAAACGGG
rnacentral:rRNA from 1 species